GAUGAACGCUGGCGGCGUGCUUAACACAUGCAAGUCGAACGAGAAGUGAAGACGGAAACCUUCGGGCGGAAGGCUUUAUUUCGAGUGGCGGACGGGUGAGUAACGCGUGGGUAACCUGCCUCAUACAGGGGGAUAACAGUUGGAAACGACUGUUAAUACCGCAUAAGACCACAGCACCGCAUGGUGCGGGGGUAAAAACUCCGGUGGUAUGAGAUGGACCCGCGUUCGAUUAGCCAGUUGGCGGGGUAACGGCCCACCAAAGCGACGAUCGAUAGCCGAUCUGAGAGGAUGACCGGCCACAUUGGGACUGAGACACGGCCCAAACUCCUACGGGAGGCAGCAGUGGGGAAUAGUGCACAAUGGGGGAAACCCUGAUGCAGCGACGCCGCGUGAGUGAAGAAGUAUUUCGGUAUGUAAAGCUCUAUCAGCAGGGAAGAAAAUGACGGUACCUGAGUAAGAAGCCCCGGCUAACUACGUG
rnacentral:rRNA from 1 species